GUUGAACGCUGGCGGCAUGCCUUACACAUGCAAGUCGAACGGUAGAGGGGCAACCCUUGAGAGUGGCGAACGGGUGAGUAAUAUAUCGGAACGUGCCCAGUCGUGGGGGAUAACGUAGCGAAAGUUACGCUAAUACCGCAUACGAUCUACGGAUGAAAGCGGGGGAGUCGCAAGACCUCGCGCGAUUGGAGCGGCUGAUAUCAGAUUAGGUAGUUGGUGGGGUAAAAGCCUACCAAGCCUGCGAUCUGUAGCUGGUUUGAGAGAACGACCAGCCACACUGGGACUGAGACA
rnacentral:rRNA from 1 species